CGCACCCUUCGGGGUGAGUGGCGCACGGCUGAGUAACACGUGGGAAUCUGUCGUCCAGUGGGGGAUAACGCAUCGAAAGGUACGCUAAUCCCGCAUACGUUCCGCAAGGAAGAAAGGCGCAAGUCGCUGGAUGAGGAGCCUGCGGCCCAUCAGGUAGUUGGAGAGGUAACGGCUCACCAAGCCAAUGACGGGUAGCUGGUCUGUGAGGACAACCAGCCAGACUGGGACUGAGAACGGCCCAGACUCCUACGGGAGGCAGCAGUAAGGAAUUUUCGUCAAUGGGGGAAACCCUGAACGAGCAACGCCGCGUGGAGGAUGACGGUCUUCGGAUUGUAAACUCCUUUUAUGAGGGACGAUAAUGACGGUACCUCAGGAAUAAGCCCCGGCUAACUCUGUGCCAGCAGCCGCGGUAAUACAGAGGGGGCAAGCGUUGUCCGGAAUUACUGGGCGUAAAGAGCACGUAGGCGGUCACGCAAGUGGUGUGUGAAACCAAUCAGCUUAACUGAUUGACGCCAUGCCAAACUGCGCGACUCGAGUCAUGGAGAGGUUAUUCGAAUUGCUGGUGUAGUGGUGAAAUGCGUAGAGAUCAGCAGGAAGACCAAGGGCGAAAGCAGAUAACUGGCCAUGAACUGACGCUCAGGUGCGAAAGCGUGGGGAGCAAACUGGAUUAGAUACCCAGGUAGUCCACGCUGUAAACGAUGUAUGCUCGGUAUCUGUGUCUGUAAUGGAUGUGGGUACCUCA
rnacentral:rRNA from 1 species